rnacentral:lncRNA from 1 species
ACCCCGUGUCCCCCCAGGUGUCUGGUGGAAGCUAGCUGGGGCAAGGCCCAGGUGUUUGGCUCAGUCCCUGAUUUUACUCAUUUCCUUAUUUCCAUUUUCCUGAAACUGCUGAAUUCUGGGCAGCUGUGCACACAGCAAGGUUCUGGCCUAGAGUAAGGUUGUAAUGAGAGAAGGGCCAAGGGCCUCACUGAGCAUUUUGUGUCCCUUCCAGGAUGUCUCAUUAUACAUCCUUCCCUUGAGCAAGAAGGCUCCAUGGGAUCAUCAUUCCUGUGUUUGGUUCUGUGUUUUCCUUCACCUGGCCCCUGGGAGCAGGCCCCCUUGUUCCUGUGGGAGGGCCCUGGGCAGAGAGGACCUGAAUGUCUGCUGUACCUGCCCUCCUGGACUCAGGGAAGACUGGCCUUGGUCCAGCCAUCUUGGUGGCCUCUGUGGCUAAGCAGGUAAAAAGUGCUAGUCCCCACCUCGAGCCUGGUCCAGCUGCUAAGAGCCCCCUAGAGCAGUGGUCUCAUUUAGAAGAUUU